UGUGAUGUUGGUGGGUCUUCCUCUCUCUGACUACCAUGCUCCAAGACCCUCCAUCUUACAUCUCUACUGACAUCUGUGUUUCCGGAUCAUCAACCUGGGAUGGUGUGCUAGUUGAAGUUACCCAUUCAGUCCCUUUGUCAUUCUGCCAGGCUGCACUGGAAGAAGAAGAGAAGGUUGGACCCUGAGAGUAAUAUUGAGAACUUCGAUAGCCAUCCCUCCGCAGCUUGUCACAUUCUGCACAUGGGAGGCGUGAUCGUGCUCAAGAUUAACAGAUGCUGGAGCGUAAGGAAAAAUUAAAUGUUCAAGAUGCAACGACCAAACUGAUCCGCCGAGUCAAACUGUGAGUUUUACAUUUCCAGAGACUGAAAUCUGAAUCUGUUGCAAGAUUAGCAAAGCACAAAUAAAAAUAAGUAUUUAUUACACCUCUACCUAAGUAACUGAAAUGUCUCCUGAACAGUGUACAUUGUCAUGAUGCAAACAGCUUUUGUCAUUACUUACUGGAGAAGAGAUGUUUUGAGAAUUAACAGUUUUGUGCCUGCUUCACUCCUUACCGUUUGACCUGUGUGUGUGUGUGUGCGCGCGCGCGCAUAUAUAUAAAUAAAAAUUUCCAUUUUUUCUGAAUUGAGGGCACCUUUUAAGGAGCAAUUUUGCUUGGCGAAUCAUUAAAUGGAGUUACAACUUGCAAUGAGAGAAUAAUUUCGCUUUGUUUUACUGUUUAUUCAAAAGGUUCUCAAAUCUUAUACUCAACAAACUAGGUUUCCCCCACUGAUUCCUCUACUGUUUUCAACAAGACAUCUUGUGAAUAGCAAAGAAUACCAUACUCUAAG